AUACUUAUCUGACCAGGGAGAUAGCAUGAUCAUGAAGGUGGUUUUCCCAUGGCAAGGCUAUUCAUUGCACUCUGGAUGUGCUGACCCCUGCGACUUCCCCAAAUGUGGGAAACUCGACUGCAUAGUUUGUGGUAGAGGGGGACUGUGUUUUUGCUUUCCCCUG
ensembl:snRNA U1 U1 spliceosomal RNA